CCUACGGGAGGCAGCAGUGAGGAAUAUUGGUCAAUGGGCGAGAGCCUGAACCAGCCAAGUCGCGUGAGGGAAGACGGUCCUAUGGAUUGUAAACCUCUUUUGCCGGGGAGCAAAAAGCGGUACGCGUACCGCAUCGAGAGUACCCGGAGAAAAAGCAUCGGCUAACUCCGUGCCAGCAGCCGCGGUAAUACGGAGGAUGCGAGCGUUAUCCGGAUUUAUUGGGUUUAAAGGGUGCGCAGGCGGCGAGUUAAGUCAGCGGUAAAAUUUCGGGGCUCAACCCCGACAAGCCGUUGAAACUGGCGUGCUAGAGUGGGCGAGAAGUAGGCGGAAUGCGUGGUGUAGCGGUGAAAUGCAUAGAUAUCACGCAGAACUCCGAUUGCGAAGGCAGCAUACCGGCGCCCAACUGACGCUCAGGCACGAAAGCGUGGGUAUCGAACAGGAUUAGAUACCCCAGUAGUC
rnacentral:rRNA from 1 species